rnacentral:pre_miRNA from 1 species
UAUAUACUCCCUCCGUCCCAAAAUCCUUGUCUUAGAUUUGUCUAGAUACGGAUGUAUCUAACACUAAAACGUAACUAGAUACAUCCGUAUUUAGACAAAUCUAAGACAAGAAUUUUGGGACGGAGGGAGUAUAUA